GUGAGACCGUAUAUUUAAUUAUUUAUAGAAAUUGUUCGAGUGGCUUGGAAGGGCUUGGCCUCGAAGAUUGCUCCACGCCGUGGAUGACAUCAUGAUGGAUUCCUUCCAAACUUCACGUCGUUUCAUUUUUAAUUGGGAAAAUCCUCAAAUCGGUGCCUCCUAUAACGUGAGAUUAUCGGAACCCAGUAAUAAAUUGUCACGUAAGAGAUGUAUCUUAAAGGAAGUAAGCCGCGCUGCAGGGAAUCCUUCCAUUUUGCAGACCCAUCUCUCCUUUUGUUUCACAACUCUCCCUCCCGUAUCCCAUUUUGCAGACCCAUGUAUCUUUAAGCAACUCUUCCCGCUGCAGACGAAAAUCAAAACCGAAGUUCACCCUUAACGAAGAUCAAAAUCAGACUUCACGAAAUCAUCCUUAACGAAAAAACAAAAUCUCUCCUAACCUCUCUCUCACUCCCCUUCACUGGUUAACGUCGAUUUCCACGGGUUCCAGGAUUAUUGUUCCAGAAGUGGGUUCCAGAAUAUUUGGCUUGUAUAUCGGACAGUUUCCCAACGACGAACCCACAGUGAAAAUCAUGAAGUGGGUUCCAGUUGCAGGAGAGGGAGGGAGGGGGAGACGAAGUCGGUUUCGGCUUGCAGGAGAGGGAGGUAGGGAGGGGCAGACGGCGGG